rnacentral:rRNA from 1 species
AUUGAACGCUGGCGGAAUGCUUUACACAUGCAAGUCGAACGAUGAACCUUAGCUUGCUAAGGGAAUUAGUGGCGAACGGGUGAGUAAUGUAUCGGAACGUAUCCAAUAAUGGGGGAUAACUAGUCGAAAGAUUAGCUAAUACCGCAUACGUCCUACGGGAGAAAGCUAGGGACCUUCGGGCCUGGCGUUAAUGGAGCGGCCGAUAUCUGAUUAGCUAGGUGGUGGGGUAAAGGCUCACCAAGGCGACGAUCAGUAGCUGGUCUGAGAGGACGACCAGCCACACUGGAACUGAGACACGGUCCAGACUCCUACGGGAGGCAGCAGUGGGGAAUUUUGGACAAUGGGCGAAAGCCUGAUCCAGCCAUUCCGCGUGAGUGAAGAAGGCCUUCGGGUUGUAAAGCUCUUUCGCAAGGGAAGAAAACUUAAGCUCUAACAUAGCUUAAGGUUGACGGUACCUUGAUAAGAAGCACCGGCUAACUACGUGCCAGCCGCCGCGGUAA